CACUGAAUGGCUGGGUUUUGGAGAACAGACCAACGCCGCCUCUGCAUGUAUGAAUCGGGAGCUGGAGUAGGAGAUUUCAUAGUGAAAAUUUAACAGGCUGGACUGGAAUGGGAAUGAUCACCUGAGGGAAAAUACUCCUCCUUUCCUGAGGUAGUAAUUCACUGGUGACCAAAUCUGUUUCAUGGCUCAUGUUUCAAGGGAAGAUCCCUGUGAUGGAAGCCACCCUGUAGUUUUGGCAAUUUUGGCUCUGUUAGACACAGAAGACAAUCAGCCUUGGGGCCCUUCAUUACUGAGUUUUGCUGUUAAUAUCCCA